UGUCACGCGUGUGGAAGUGACGGAAUAGGAAGGAAUAAUUAAUCAAUCUUUUUCGAGUCUGGACACCUCGACAAUUAGUCAAAGCAAAUAGAAGUGAUGAUCAACACGUUCACUGCCAGAUCAAAACAGUGUAAUAUUCUGCAAACGUAACAUUCUGAUUUCAGACCAUUAUUUAUUUUUCUCAACGUCUUAACUUCGAGAAUUCAUUAAUGGUAAAUCCUGGCAUCCAUAGGUGACGUGGGCAGUCAAAGUGUUGAAAAGUAUCGAGAGUGUCUUCGAGCGGUUAAGAAAAACAAAGAUGGCGCGCGUGAAACAGGCAGAACAAACGAAUUACGAAACGAAUAGAAAUAAUUUUCGCGCCAGAAUUUCUAAUGGAAGUUCAAUGCCUCGUAUGUUGAUGCAAUAUAUUACCGAGUGAAUGAUUAGCGUUUACGAACGUGUAAAUAUCCGAGUAAAAUCUAGUACGUACCGCGUGGCGUGCGCGAAAGGAAUAUUACGAAUCUUAUCUGGAUGAAAGUUUUGUGCAACGAAUGAGAAAUAGAAAAAUGUUGAUUUUUCUACGCUAUAUAGAUUAUAAUUUUUCGACGUUCGAUUUGGAUCCCAAAUUCGAAAGUGAAGUUUGUUUCGAUCUGCGUUCAACGAUGCGCGUUAUCUAGAUGAUUCCACGUUACGUACGACGUAGAAGCAAAUAAACCAUUUUUCGCUCGAUGGCUCGCGUAACUGUUCCAUCAAUUGCUUGCUCGAUACUACUCCCAUACUUAGUAUAAUAAAUCCAUUACUCAGUCACCGUGAUCAGUUCACUUUGGACGAUUUACAAGUACGUAAGUAGACAAUUGGAAACCAGCAUAACCGUAAUUUUGUCAUAAAACUUAUUUUCAAGUCUCGUUAAAAUUCAACAGUCGUAUUUAGAUUUAUUUUCUUUGACAUUUAAUCUCGAGAAUGAAUCUUUUUAGUUCCUUAGUGAAACACAAUGUUACCCAUGUCACCAUGUAGGUGGCGUGGCAGUCAAUGUGUUGAAGCUCCGAACUUUGGAAAUUCGAGGUUAGGAACUCGGCGAAUUCGGGGACCCUUAAAAUUAAAAAUUGCAAAAAUUAUAUUUCCGUUAUCUGAACGAGUAUGGAGAAAAAUUAAUAACGAAAGAGAGAUCCACGACGGUGGAAAAAACGGAUCGACAGAGAAACACCGUGCACGUGGUGGCAAGUCAUGUGAAAGUGGCCUUGCCGCGUUAACGCGGAUCAUGACGCAGUACUUUUUCGCCUCUUCUGCACGGCCUACGAAAAUUGACCAAUGAUUUACCAAAAAGAAAAAAAAAAAAAAUGCGACAUCCUACUUUCGAAAGAGGCAUCCAAAUAAUUUCUAGUCGCCAAAGAGUCGCGUCAUCGGUCGUAGAAACGCGAAAACGUGAAAAUUGUUAAUAAAUCGAGGUCCGUGCAAUUAUCAAUCAUUAAUUAUAAUAGAAAGGAAAAAUGGUAUUUAAUAAAUUGAUCGUUAGACGAGAAUAAAUGGAUAAUAAAUCCUUGUGGAUCGUGGCCGAUCGAAAGAAACGGUGAUUAUUAAUGCGUUGAGCGAAUAAAUACAUAUUAACGAGUCGAAACGAGAACUCGGAUUUCCGAAACGAAUCGGUCCCGAUUCGGUUAAUGAAGAUGUUCGUGAAUCGCAAAUCGCCGCAAAUCCAUAAUAACGAACGAAUCACUUUCUAUUGGGUAAUACAUGUGAUCGUAUACGUCCUAGCGGCACGCCAUACAUAAAGCAUGAACAACUUUCGAUGCUUCGAUCCGCUACGAAUGGAUCGAGAGUGCAAGGACACGCGACCAACCGACAAAUCUAUCGAAAAGAGAACCAUCGUAG